GUGCUGUGAGCUCGAUGAGUAGGGCGGGACACGUGGUAUCCUGUCUGAAUAUGGGGGGACCAUCCUCCAAGGCUAAAUACUCCUGACUGACCGAUAGUGAACCAGUACCGUGAGGGAAAGGCGAAAAGAACCCCGGCGAGGGGAGUGAAAAAGAACCUGAAACCGUGUACGUACAAGCAGUGGGAGCCCCACCACUAAGCCAGUGGUGAACUCCACAUCCGCAUCCUUUGCUGAGGAUACGGUUAACGGAGCGAAAGCGACGUUCAACCGCAAAACAAGCAGAGGGGGCUUAGUGGUGGGGUGACUGCGUACCUUUUGUAUAAUGGGUCAGCGACUUAUAUUCUGUAGCAAGGUUAACCGAAUAGGGGAGCCGGAGGGAAACCGAGUCUUAAUUGGGCGUUAAGUUGCAGGGUAUAGACCCGAAACCCGGUGAUCUAGCCAUGGGCAGGUUGAAGGUUGGGUAACACUAACUGGAGGACCGAACCGACUAAUGUUGAAAAAUUAGCGGAUGACCUGUGGCUGGGGGUGAAAGGCCAAUCAAACCGGGAGAUAGCUGGUUCUCCCCGAAAGCUAUUUAGGUAGCGCCUCGUGAAUUCAUCUCCGGGGGUAGAGCACUGUUUCGGCUAGGGGGCCAUCCCGGCUUACCAACCCGAUGCAAACUGCGAAUACCGGAGAAUGUUAUCACGGGAGACACACGGCGGGUGCUAACGUCCGUCGUGAAGAGGGAAACAACCCAGACCGCCAGCUAAGGUCCCAAAGUCAUGGUUAAGUGGGAAACGAUGUGGGAAGGCCCAGACAGCCAGGAUGUUGGCUUAGAAGCAGCCAUCAUUUAAAGAAAGCGUAAUAGCUCACUGGUCGAGUCGGCCUGCGCGGAAGAUGUAACGGGGCUAAACCAUGCACCGAAGCUGCGGCAGCGAACGUAUCACCCAAGACAACUUUACGGAGUUGACGAUUGACGGAGCGAAGCGACGUCAAAGCGUUCAUUAAAGUCGAGUUGGCUUAGGGAUACGUUCGUUGGGUAGGGGAGCGUUCUGUAAGCCUGUGAAGGUGUGUCGUGAGGCAUGCUGGAGGUAUCAGAAGUGCGAAUGCUGACAUAAGUAACGAUAAAGCGGGUGAAAAGCCCGCUCGCCGGAAGACCAAGGGUUCCUGUCCAACGUUAAUCGGGGCAGGGUGAGUCGACCCCUAAGGCGAGGCCGAAAGGCGUAGUCGAUGGGAAACGGGUUAAUAUUCCCGUACUUGGUGUUACUGCGAAGGGGGGACGGAGAAGGCUAUGUUGGCCGGGCGACGGUUGUCCCGGUUUAAGCGUGUAGGUGUGUGUUCCAGGUAAAUCCGGUUCACUUUAACACUGAGGCGUGAUGACGAGGCACUACGGUGCUGAAGCAACAAAUGCCCUGCUUCCAGGAAAAGCCUCUAAGCAUCAGGUAACAUCA
rnacentral:rRNA from 1 species